AAUUGGUGAGAGGUCCACUAUAGCAUGUUUGUAACCCUCUAAGUCCACUUCUAAAUUUCAUAACCCCUUUAGUCCACUAAUAUAGUUAUAUAACCUAAUAACUCCAAUUUACUUAAAAAGAGAUAUUUUUCAAGACCAAAAAACCCUCCUAUAUAACAUAUAGAGAGAGAAACUCUAGAUUACAAAACAGAUCUGAGCCUCCCCUCUCUCUCUCCUCCCCUCCCCUGGUGAACCGUCCGCCUCCAAAUUCACUCAUCGAGAGGCUCCUCAAGAUCUCGUCAUAUCAAUUAACUACAGUGGAUUCUGGCACCAAGGCUUUAAUAUUUCUGGGUUUGGAUGGAGAUGAUCUGAGGAACCCAAAUCAACUUUCUGUUUCCCCAAACAUCCAGCAGAUAUAGAGGUUAUGAGAAUGCUAUUCGGAGGCAGAAAAUUAAAAUUUUGAAGCAUCCGAUGAAGGUUUUGAUGAAGAAACGGUGAAAAAAUGAAGGUCAACCCCCUGUGGCCUCAUCAACAUUCAACUUGGGAUUCAAGGUGCGACUAGAAACAAGGAUAAUGGUGGCAUGAUAUGUGAACAUAUAAUGUUAUUUUUUGAAAUA